rnacentral:lncRNA from 1 species
CUCGGGGGAGGCCAGCAUGGAUGGAGUUUAUGAUGUCAUUUUCCUAAAACACUCAAUGACUGCUUCCUAAACAGAACUUGUCAGGCACUAUGGUUGGCACUUGGGGUGCCCAGAUGAAUGAGAAGCUGAGUCCGGUGUCAAGGAGCUAACUCUUUUGCGGAGAAGACAGAUAAAAUACAACUUGCUGUUGGCUGGAGGGAGGGAGAAGCUCUUGGCAUCUCCCUAAGGGUCGGAAAGGUGAUGCACCUGCAGAAGGAGAAACUGGGGUCUCCCCUACGGAGAGAUUCAUGGCGGCCACGAACAAACCUUUCCACACACUAAGAGCCAUCUGGUAAGUGGGGGAGGCUGUCUACAAAGAGGGAGCCAGGGGACAAAAUCUUCCAGUUGCACAUUAAAGACCACCAGGAAAAUGGUUACUCCUUUAUGUAUCUGGACAGGAUUAAACUAGAGAGAGAAAGCUUCUGUGUCAUCCCACAUCAUAGGCCCUUUCAAAUUCCUUUCUCAUAGUCUAUUUCCAUCUCUUAAUUUUACCUGCACAAAAUAUAAUCAUGCCUGCUUGUAAUUACUUAUGCAUACAUGAAUACUAGUAAGUUAAACUUGUUCAUCUAUUUACAUAGACAGUGUGAUGCAUAGUAGCUUAGGAAUUGCUUCUUUUCCCUGUGAUUUUAAAUGUGCAACGAGUUUCUUUCUAAAACACAUAUUUGCAGAUGUCACUUUAAACACUAUUUUCUGAGAUUAUAUUUUCCAUAGAAAACAGAUGUCUGCAAUUAUCCCUUUUUUGACCUCUGAGACUUAUCAAAGUCAAAUAGGUAAUCAUCCAAUCAGACGGGCUAUCAUUAUCAGAAGAAAAGUAAUUAUAAUCUGAAUAUGUUUGAACAUGAUUAUUAUAAGCUUUAAACUGUUACACUUUUGAUUGGGGCAGAAUUGGAAGACAUCACUUCAUAAUUCAAAUGAUGUAACUUCACUUGUUUUUGUCAUUUAGAAUCUGGAGAGCUAAAUUUAUUUAACAAUAUAAUUCUUUAAACAUGAACAAAUUAUGCAAUAAUCUCUUUAAAACCAUGAGAAUGCUUCUCAAAAUCUUGACAGUAAAAUUAGGGGAUUUUUUUUUUUUUUUUUUUUUUUUUUAACUAGAGCAAAUCAGAGCUCGGCACUGAGCCCAUCAGAGUGGGAAGCUUGAGGCAGACAGUGUUCUUUUGACAGACAUUUUGUGAUCUGCUUGGUUCUGUUAAAGAGACCUGCUCCCUUUCUGCCCGCCUCUGGAGGCCCACCCAUUGUUGGGCCCAAGUUAAAGGAGAUCUCGGCCAAAUACAGACAUUGAUUAGUGAGACAAGAAAGGAGAAAAGGUAUACAAGGAAAAAAAAUUUUUCCCAAGAAGGUAUGUAAGUAGAAGGAGCGAAUUAAAGUCAAAAUCUGAACUGAGAAUUUUGAAAAGUACUUAAGGACUUGGGCCGGAGGUGGGGUGGGGGUAGGGGGCAUUGAAGACCUAAUGUUUGCUACAUCUGGAGCAAGACCGCUUUUCCCAUUGAAAAUAAUUUUAUAAAAAUCUGGCAACACAGUCCUUGUGUCCAGACACUUGAUUAGGUGUUUGCUUAACUUGCUGGGAUGCCCUGAUUUUUCUCCUCCACCGUUUCCAAGGUCUGUGCUUUCCAGCCGGUGCACCGGCCUUAGGAAGGAGGCGUGACGGCAGGGCGCCUGGGCUGUUCCUGGGGCCUGAGUCCACAGUGAGUUGGUAGAUGUGUGUGAGCGAGGAGACGCAGAGCCCUGUCAGAGAAUUCUUGUGGCCCAGCCUGCGGGUUAGAAAUAGUCACAGACAGGAGCCUUUGGAGGAUUUGAAAGGCACUUAAUGGUUAUUUUGUCAUGACCACACCAUUUCUUAGGAUGCCUAUUUAAGAGCAGCCAUUCAACUCAUAAUUCUAGUUCAGCAGAGCAAGACCAGAGGGUUUUGCUUCUCCCCAAACACCGCAGAACUUUGGUAAAAAUCAAGUCAGGACCUCAUAUCGUUCCAACCUCCUUAUUAAAAGUACCCCUUUCUUGUUAUUUCUUCUUGACGUCUGCCCUUCCCCUACCUCUAGCAUGUGUAUGUGUCCACUCAUUCAUUCCAGAAAGACUCACUGAGUCCCUAACGUGGGCCAAGCACUCUGGAUAUGGCAAUGAGCAAAAUAGGCAAAUAUCUCGGCCCAGCUGGAGCUUGCAUUCUGGCUAAAUUCUUGCUAAGGCCUUCUGCGGAAAUGUCAAUUGGAAACGAAGGUAUUGAUGGAGUUGUCAAGGACUGAGGGUAGCAUUCCCUUUGUCACCCAGGGAAUCAGUACCCCUGGGGGGUGGCCCCAGCAAUGGUGUGCACUAUGACACUCGCCCGGCGGCGUGAGAGCGAUGACGGAGGGCACCCCUGCCUCCAGGGAGGGACCUUGAUCUUUGCAGGUUCCUCUUGGGAUUUCACCACCUGGACAGGUGCCCAUUCGUUCUGUACCUCUCCACCGCCCGGCUGGACAGAAGUCUCCUCUGCUCUGCCCGGGUGAGCUCCCUACUUUGUUCGUCCCUCAACAGCAGAGAUCCUGUUUUAUUAAUGUGACUAAUGAUCUGUCGUCCAGCACAGUGCCUGGCGCAGCAUCAGCUCUCAGAAACCUCUAAGUAAAUGAAUGGCGGUCCGCUCCCCUUCCCAAGGCCUUUGACGCUCGUUUAGUCUCAGUGGAAAGGGCUUUCUUUGUGCAGUCCCUGUUGGUCACCCAUUCCCAGCCCAGCUGAAGAUUUUGCAACAUGUCAAAGUAGAAAUUUCCAGCUUGAUUCUUACUCUAAAUUUCAUGGAGCCCAGGCAUUGGAAUUAUGGCACUGCUUUUCAAUGGGGAUUUUUUUGUGUGUGUCGAUAUUUAGUUCAUCAUGUUGAAUAUUUUGUGCUUCCGUGCACUGCUUCUGAUGGAUUUAGCUUAUUAAAGUGGGUGGCAUCCAGCUGCAGCCCCCUUUUCUUCUUUUUCCUUCUAAUCUACUUUCAAGUAACCAAAGCAGCCUAUUAACACUUGGUGUUUUCAUCAGACCUUGCACACUCCUAGGAGCCUUUGAGCCUGUGAUCACAUCAUUUCCCAUCUUUUCAGAAUAUUCUUUCUCCACAGUUUUGCCUAGCUUCGUUUUCUCCAACUUUCAAGACCCUCCAGCAAGCAUAAUGGUACUAGCAGUCUGAAUGACAUAUUUUCUACAAAGCCUUUUUGACCGCUAUAGGCCAUCUCUUCUCCUCAUUGCUUCGUGUAAUUAUUUCAUGUAGAAAUUUUUCAACAUCCUCCUCUGCUGUGUCAGGUAUCUUUUUAUAUAGUUAUAGAUGCUCACACGUGUGCUCAACCAGCUAGAUGAACAGCAGUAUAGCACACAGGUAACAGCACGGUUGGAGGGGUACAUAGACCUAAGUUUCAACAUGGGUCCUCCCCUUGGGGAAGAGAUGACUUAUGACAGGUUACCUCUGUGCACUUCGGCUUUGCUAUCUAUAAAAUAGGGCAACUGUGCCUGCCUGUAUCAAGCACUCCUUCGUAUGCUGAUGCCUUGACAUCGGGGGCCUUGCUGACUUCCAGGAGACUGCCCCCUCUCAGGGCUAGUCAAUUCCUAGAGUUGGCAAGGGACUAGCCUGCAAGCAUCCUUCUCAUGUGUGAGCCAACCAAUCCAAAGCCCGUACCCCUAACCACCUCUUUUAUUGGGGUCUCAUAUUCUGACCAUUAGCCCAUGCCCUAAUCUCCCCAGAGCAACUAGGAACAGUCCUUUGGCCCCAGAGCCCACUAAAAUGAUCCAAACCAGCUAGUCCUAUCCCCACUUACCAUGCCUCACCUUUUCCUUUGCACAGAAGCCAAAAUAAAGGCUCUUAACCUCUAUUUCCCCUGCUCCCUCUGCCUCCUUACUGACCCUGGUACUCUGCUUUGUGGCCUCCCCAUGAUGUAGCACACCACCUCCUGUUUCUAGGGAACUCUGAAUAAAAACUUCUUUCUUUGUGACAGCCAUUUCCAUGUCUACCUGUCUUACCAUACCCAUUCAAAAUCAAUUCUGGGUCUAUUUUCAAACACUACCUCAUAGGGUUAAAGUCAUGGUUCUCAUGUGGAGGCGAUUUCUGACUCCCAGAGGACAUAUGGCAGUGUCUAGUGACAUUUUUAGUUAUCACAACUGGGGAGAGAGGCGUUACUGGCCUUAGUGGGUAGGGGCCUGGAUGCUGUCAAACAUCAAACAUCCUACAAUGCACAGGUCAACCACAGCAAGAAUUCUCUUGCCCCAAACGUCAGUCCUGGCAAGAGUGAGAAACCCAGGGUUCGGUGAGGAUUCAAUGAGGUCAAGUAAGUCAAGUGUGUACUUCAGGUGACUCUCAGACUGUCACGUGCCCUGGAAUCACCUGGCGGGUUUACUAAACUACCUAUUGCUGGGCCCACUCCCAGAGUUUCUGGUUCAAUAAGUCUGGGGUAGGACCUGAGGAUUUACAUUUCUAAGCAAUUCCAAGAUGAUGCGGACACUGAUCUUUCAGUACCGACUUUGAGAAUUAUUAGCCUAAUUCAUAGCAAUCACUCGAUAAAUGAUAUCCCAUAAUUAUUAUUUUAUCAGAUCCUGUAGGUCAGAAACAGGCGCCUGUGCUUCAUAUCCUGCACAUCACUGGGGCUUGCACCAGGCAGUCAUUAAAGAUGCUGAUGACUGUUUGACACCGAAGCACUACUAAGUGGCAAACAGUACUUACUAAGAUACAUCUGGGACUAGAUUAGAAACUUGUCUAGGUAGGAGUAUAUUCUAGUUAGCUAUUGCUGCAAAACAAGUUGCCCCCAAAUUUAGUGCCUUUGAAUAACAACCAUUUUGUUAUAUUUCAUGAUUUUGUGAGUCAGGAAUUUGCACAGGGCUCAGCAGGUUGGCCUGUUACAUGAGACAUUGAUUGAAGCUCCUCGAAGAGGUACUGGCCAAGAGGUCAAUGUAUGCACGCAUCUGACACCUUGCUGGCGUGGCUUGAAGGGGGGGUCCCCGCUGGGACUGCCAACUAGAGAUUCAUGUUUUUAAACUGCCCUGUGAUAUUUGGUUGCAGCCCUGUUUCUAGUGAAGGGAGUAGAAGACAUAAGCAAAUGACCCUAGGACUUCAUGAUUGUACUCUGUUGUUCUCUGAACUUUGGAUGUUACGCCCUCUCUCCAAAUACAUCACUGCAAGCCAGGCAGCUUCCCAACUACUGUCUUCAUCUUAUGACUGCAAGUUGGAAUAAGUAUCCAUAUACCUGUCAGAAUUGCCUAGUGCAGUAAAACCCACAAUGAAAUGCCCUUCCCUGUUGCAGGUUCAUUACACAGCAUGAAAAAUCAUAUCCCCCAAGGACACAGUCCCACAUGGCCUUUCUCUCUCCCACUGCAGUCC